UCACCUAGAUGAGCUGGUGGUGUGUGGUCAGGUUAAGAGCACAAAGAGAAGAAAGAAAGUGACAUCAUGCCUGGUUUUACCAUGUCCACUAGGGGAGUGGAUGAAAAGCUUUCCGUUGAUACAUCACCUCUGGGAUUUGAAGAAGAAUGCAAUUAAGAGAGCUAAAGAAGUCAGCAUAGGGUCUGAAAUUCAGAGGUCAAUUGAUGUCUCAAAGAUACCUCCACAAAUCAGUACCUUGAUCAAAACUAAAAUUGACGUCAUCUCCUUCACUUCACCUUUCUCACUCUUCAUUAGGACUCAUUGUACUCUUUUUCCCAUCACUCGCUUGCAAUCUAGAUUGCCUUAGUGGUGCAGUUACUUUUUAUAUAUUUGUUUUUGUUUUACAUACUGACAUUAAAGUUACAGAAAAAUCUAAAAAACACUGGUUGAAU